ensembl:snoRNA
GAGUAAUGAUAAGAAAAGGUUUUACUACUGUCCUUUGUAAUUAUAAAGGUUUUUAUACUUGACCUGAGCUCA